CAGUAGCCGCGGGAAUACAGAGGAUGCAAGCGUUAUCCGGAAUGAUUGGGCGUAAAGCGUCUGUAGGUGGCUUUUCAAGUCCGCCGUCAAAUCCCAGGGCUCAACCCUGGACAGGCGGUGGAAACUACCAAGCUGGAGUACGGUAGGAGCAGAGGGAAUUUCCGGUGGAGCGGUGAAAUGCGUAGAGAUGUGGAGGAACACCAGUGGCGAAGGCGACUCUCUGGUCUGUAACUGACGCUGAGGAGCGAAAGCGUGGGGAGCGAACAGGAUUAGAUACCCGGGUAGUCCCUGUCUCUUAUAC
rnacentral:rRNA from 1 species